UAUACGAGUCACUACAUGGAAGAGGUCGAGUUCCUGUGCGACCGCGUGGGUAUCAUCGAUCACGGUAAGGUCAUCGCGAUGGGCGACAUCGAGAAGCUGCGCAAGGUGGU
rnacentral:rRNA from 1 species